AUGCCUUUGAUCCCAGUUUUAAUUAAACUCCGCUCAGUUCAGCAAUCUCAGUGGUCCUCACGGGAUGCAGUGCAGCAGCCUGCAAAAGUGAUUCAGGGGAGAGGACUUUUGAUACAUCUUUCACAGAAGCCAGCUAACAGCAGUGGGAAUAUGGGUAAAGAUGGUAAUUUCACUUUCCUUUGGCCACAGACAAAAUUAAUCCCUCAUGAGUUUCUUUCUGAUGGAGAUACGUCUUCAACUGAAAGUUAA
rnacentral:lncRNA from 1 species